AGAGUUUUAAGUUAAUUAAACUGUAAAUUUUCAAGAUUUAUAAUAAAUAGAUUUAUUUAAACUUUGU
rnacentral:tRNA from 1 species